CAAGUCGAACGCGAAAGUUCCCUUCGGGGAACAAGUAGAGUGGCGCACGGGUGAGUAACACGUAGGUAAUCUACCUUUGGAUUGGGAAUAACACCGAGAAAUCGGUGCUAAUACCGAAUAAUGCAGCGGCACCUAAUGGUGACAGUUGUUAAAGCGGGGGAUCGCAAGACCUCGCGUCUAAAGAGGAGCCUGCGGCGGAUUAGCUAGUUGGUAAGGUAACGGCUUACCAAGGCGAUGAUCCGUAGCCGGCCUGAGAGGGCGGUCGGCCACACUGACACUGACAUACGGGUCAGACUCCUACGGGAGGCAGCAGUCGGGAAUUUUGGGCAAUGGGCGAAAGCCUGACCCAGCAACGCCGCGUGAAGGAUGAAAUCCCUCGGGAUGUAAACUUCGCAAGAACGGGAAGAAUAAGUCGGUGCUAACACCAUCGGCGAUGACGGUACUGUUUGUAAGCUCCGGCUAACUCCGUGCCAGCAGCCGCGGUAAUACGGGGGGAGCAAGCGUUGUUCGGAUUUACUGGGCGUAAAGGGCGCGUAGGCGGCCACCGCAAGUCGACUGUGAAAUCUCCGGGCUUAACUCGGAAAGGUCAGCCGAUACUGCGGGGCUAGAGUGCAGAAGGGGCAACUGGAAUUCUCGGUGUAGCGGUGAAAUGCGUAGAUAUCGAGAGGAACACCUGCGGCGAAGGCGGGUUGCUGGGCUGACACUGACGCUGAUUGUGCGAAAGCUAGGGGAGCGAACGGGAUUAGAUACCCCGGUAGUCCUAGCCUUAAACGAUGAAUGCUUGGUGUCUGGGGUUUUAUAGUCCCCGGGUGCCGUCGCUAACGCUUUAAGCAUUCCGCCUGGGGAGUACGGUCGCAAGACUGAAACUCAAAGGAAUUGACGGG
rnacentral:rRNA from 1 species